GUCAGUGUGCCCGAGCGGUCUAAGGGGGUAGACUCAAGUUCUACUGUGUUCCGCACUCGUGGGUUCAAAUCCCACCGCUGACA
rfam:Phytophthora infestans T30-4 supercont1.10 genomic scaffold, whole genome shotgun sequence.